AUGCAAAAAGUUAUAAACCUUCUGAGAGCUGUGGCUGGAUGUGACUGGGGUGCAGACAGGCAGUUGUUAAUUAACAUUUAUAGGGCUUGCCUGAGGUCAUCAGUAGAUUAUGGUUGUGUAGUUUAUGGAGCAGCGGCAAAAACAAUAUUGGGAAAAAUUAAUAGAUUACAAUAUAGAGCAUUACGUGUAUGCAUCAGGGCUGUUAAGACAACCCCCAUUAAUGCUAUACUCAUAGAAGCAGGAGAGAUGCCACUGGAGUUAAGAAGAGAGAAACUGGCAUAUUGGAUCAGAUUAAAAGGAAGUGGGAAAGAAAACCCAGCAAAAGAAACAAUACAGGAAUGUUGGGAGUAUUCCAAGUUUCAGGGGCUUGGUUUUGGAUGGACAAGGGAAAUGAGAGUGAGAGAAUAUGAAAUGGAAACCUUAGAUUUCACCAUGGUCAAUCCAGUUAGUAGUAUUCCACCAUGGCUGUUUCCAGAAGUAAAGGUUGAUAUUAAUAUCUUGGAAAAGAAAAGAGAAUGGAGAAUGGAGGAAGUGGGAGUUAAAACAAGCAUUUACAUAAGAAACAGUUAUUAUAAUUAUUUAAAGAUUUACACAGACGGAUCCAAGAACAAACAGGAUUGCGUGGGAGUCGGAAUACAUAUCUCAGAAUUCUCCAAAAGACUAUCUGAUCGGUUAUCUGUAUGUACAGCAGAAAUAGUGGCAGCCAUUAUUGCACUACAGUGGGUUGAAGAGGUCAGACCUGAUAGGGUGGUCCUAUGCACAGACUUUUUAGCGGUCAUUAAAAGUAUUCAGUCAGUGACAUCGGUAAGAGAAGAUCUACUAAUAGAACUUUUUCUCAGUUCAUUUAGAUUACAUCGGGGUGGCAUAGAUGUACAGUUUUGCUGGGUGCCAGCACAUGAGGGGGUUAAAGGGAACGAGAAAGCAGACAAACUGGCUAAAGAGGCGCUGCUAAAGGUAAUAAUAGUUACAAUUCCACUAGGAAAAGGCGAAGGUAAAGCAGUGGUUAAGAAGAAAGGACUUGAAAUAUGGCAGAAAUGGCGGGAGGAAGACAGGAAAGGUAGGAGAUAUAAAAUACAAAAAAAUUGA
ensembl:lncRNA